GACGAACGCUGGCGGCGUGCCUAAUACAUGCAAGUAGAACGCUGAAGCGAGGAGCUUACUCUUCUUGGAUGAGUUGCGAACGGGUGAGUAACGCGUAGGUAACCUGCCUUGUAGCGGGGGAUAACUAUUGGAAACGAUAGCUAAUACCGCAUAACAAUGGAUGACACAUGUCAUUUAUUUGAAAGGGGCAAUUGCUCCACUACAAGAUGGACUUGCGUUGUAUUAGCUAGUAGGUGAGGUAAUGGCUUACCAAGGCGACGAUGCAUAGCCGACCUGAGAGGGUGAGCGGACACAAUGGAACUGAGAGCAGGUACAGACUCCUAAGGGAGGAAGCAGUAGGGAAUCUUCAGAAAUGGGCGAAAGCGUGACGGAGCAACGCAGCGUGAGUGAUGAAGGUAUUAGGAUAGUAAAACUCUGUGAUUAGGGAAGAAAAUAUGUGUAAGUAACGGUGCACAUCUUGACGGUACCUAAUCAGAAAGCAACGGCUAACUACGUG
rnacentral:rRNA from 1 species